rnacentral:rRNA from 1 species
UACGUAGGGUGCAAGCGUUAAUCGGAAUUAUUGGGCGUAAAGAGCUCGUAGGCUGUUCGAUAAGUCGGGUGUGAAACCUCCAGGCUCAACCUGGAGACGCCACCCGAUACUGUCAUGACUAGAGUCCGGUAGGGGAGCGUGGAAUUCCUGGCGUAGCGGUGAAAUGCGCAGAUAUCAGGAGGAACACCAGCGGCGAAGGCGGCGCUCUGGGCCGGUACUGACGCUGAGGAGCGAAAGCGUGGGUAGCAAACAGG